rnacentral:tRNA from 1 species
UGUACCAGUAACUCAGUGGAUAGAGUGGCAGCCUCCGAAGCUGUUGGCCGCGGGUUCGACUCCCGCCUGGUGCAU